rnacentral:rRNA from 1 species
UACGAAGGGGGCUAGCGUUGCCCGGAAUCACUGGGCGUAAAGGGUGCGUAGGCGGGUUUUUAAGUCAGAGGUGAAAUCCUGGAGCUCAACUCCAGAACUGCCUUUGAUACUGAAAGUCUUGAGUAUGGGAGAGGUGAGUGGAACUGCGAGUGUAGAGGUGAAAUUCGUAGAUAUUCGCAAGAACACCAGUGGCGAAGGCGGCUCACUGGCCCAUAACUGACGCUGAGGCACGAAAGCGUGGGGAGCAAACAGG